GAAGGAGACAGCUUUCCUGGGCAGAAAAUGCCUGGUUGCAAAGUUGCUACAGAUGCAGUUUCCAUGAUGAAGGCAGUGGAACUGAAUUCUUGCCUGUCUGCUGGUUAACCUGUGUAAAGAAACCAUGGGGACGUUCCCAUUGCCACUAUUUCUCCUUAGCUUAGCACCCAUCUGAAACACCGCUGGUAGUUUGUGUGAGAGAGGUCCAAAGCCAAAUUGAACCUACUUUAGAGCUCAGAUGCUUUGAGUGUAUCUUUAUAGUUGCUGUUUUCUUUUGUUGGCCAUGCAAAUGGCCAGCUUCUCAGGUGAUGUACGUUGAUGUCCUUUCUUGGAUGUCAACACAACAGUAGUGAUUUACGUGGAAUCAAACUAUGACCUAGGAUCUACAUUUCCCACUCUCCUAAUUCAAGAGGCCUUAAAUUUCCCAACAGAAAAAUGAGAAAUCACAGGGAAUUCCUUCCUGUGUAUUUUUAUGGCCAUAAAUGAUCAUUGUUCUUCUUAAAUGAGCUUCAGACCAAAACUAUUGCGCGUGCAAAGGAUCUCCUUGUCUCUCUGCGGGAGAGCUCAUAUUAGCAAUAAUUACUCUCAUGAGUAAGAAUUUCUACACUGUGAUAUACAGUGAGUUGGCAACUGCUGUUAGAGCACAGAAUGAAGCCUGGGUUCGCUCAUAAACUUUAAUCCUUUAAAAUUUAACUGUUAGCAAAUGAAAGACCAAAUUAUCAGAUGGAUUUAUGUCAGCGCAGUGAGACGGAGCUCUGCAAAGCUCCGCUUUGUGGGGGCUGAGGAUCUGGCCCUUGCAAUAGCUGUUCUCCCCCCUCUAUCCUUUUCUCCGUGGUAUAAAUAAAUGAAAGGUGUCCUAAUCAUAUUUUAGACUGUGUGCAGAGUCACAUGCUAAACCAUAAUGUCUCUGUAUUAGAACAUGAGGAAUGAUAAAUGGAGAUAAAUCUAAAAUUUAUAGAACAUGAACAUUUGCAUAAACUGCAAUAUCCAAACAUAUAGGCUGUUAAGUAACAAUUGUCACAAAGGGCAUAAAAAAUUCAACUUUGUUUCAUAAAAAGAUCUCAAAUUCCUAACAUGAUUAAGAUAAUAUAUCAUUUGUUCCUAUCUUAUUAAAGGCGUAAUUGUUGUUAGACACAGAAGUGGCAUUAAGUCUAAUCUGGCUUUAUAUAUGUACAAAUAGAAGGGGAGGUGAAUGUGAAAAUUGAUGCUUUUGGUGAUCCAUAGGCAUUUUAUUAAUGUUUGAAUAAUAACUGCCUGGAGGGCCUGUUAUAAAUUAAAGGGACGAAUUGAGAUAUAAAUUUUUAUGAGGACUAGUUAUACAUUUCCAUUAUGUGUUUAAAAAUGAAGGAAUUACUGUGAACACAGCAGAACUCACAUUUAUUUGAGGUGAUUUGGAUGGAAGGGAAGGUGCACUGAAGGAAGCUGCAUGCUGGCUGUAAGAAAGAUGUAUCUGUCCCUUUGAAGAGAUAUAUCAUAUGUCAUGCAUGAACUCGGUUCUACAGGAGACUUUUCUCUGCAGCUGAUUUCGCAUGAUUAUUUAUUUGACAACAGCAAGUGAUGAUAUAGCAAUGAGUUUAGGCCACUUAGAGAAGAAUGCUUAUUCCUAAAUCACAGAGGAGUUCCCCAAACCCAACUAUUGUCAAACCAGAGUUAAUCUAAUAGAGGAACCCAGUAACCUCUCUGGCACUUAUUUCUCAUUAUUCCUCCUGUCUGGAUAUACACAUCUUCAUUUGCAGUGCAUCCACCGGCCCUGCCGUGUAUCUCAGAGCUUCCUCCUGCCCGUUGUUGUGGCUGUUUGCAGGAGCUCAGCUCUCAUUGCUGGGUGGGCACCGUAUUCCCUUUGCUAUCCACCAGAGCAGAUAUCCUGUAAGAUCCACAGUUAGUCCCAUCGAUGUGCUUUUCCCAUGACAUGGAGGGUGAAGAUAACCCAGUAUCUUCAAUGAAGCAGGCACUUUGGCCUGAGAAUACAUCUUUUCAUGACAGAGAGGGUGCAUUAUCCCAGUACUUAGGCAAUCACUGACUGUAUAGGGGAACUCUUUUCCACUUCCUUGUUUAUUGCUGCUGACCCCUGAAGGCGAAGCCUUUUAGAUCAAAUUCUUCAGGUUAUUUUGUAUUUAACCUUUAUUUAAAGCCUUUAUUUUUCUUGAUUUCGGUAGAUGCAAGAAAACUGAUAUCCCAGAGGUCCUGACCUAUUUUCUCUGUGCGGCAGUUCGUUGUCUAUAAAACAAGGAGACUCAAACAAGUGGUUUGAGGAGGAAAGUGUUCAUUGGUGUGAUGCUGAGAGAGAUGACAAUGUAAUGCCAUCUGCAGAUACGCCAGACCAACACAGCAGCUGUGCUACUGCAUUCUGGUGGUGUUUUAUGGCAAGACACACAGCACAGCGGUCUUCCAUUCUGCUGUCUUUCAUGUAAAUGAAUUAAUUUGCAAUUUUUUGUUGUUGCUUCUCCCAAGCACCACUCUAAUCAAGCUCACGAGGAUUAGGCAAGUACUUCCUGUUUGGACUAGGCCUGAUUCCUUGUGAAAUACGUUUAGCUGGUGCUCUUGGCUUGCAAAGGGCCCAAAAUCUUAAAGAAAUUGAUAAAACAUUGAGACUUAGCUCAGCUUCGGUUCUCAACUUUGAAGCAUCACUCUUGGCUCCACCAAUCAGGGAGAUCACUGUGUACACUCAGAGAACAGUGGCUGGGUGUACUUUGAUCUACAAGCAACAUUUAUUUUUUCCCCCAGGUGAGAAUGAGAAAAACGACAAAAUGUCUUCAUGGUUCUCAUUAAAGGUCCUACCUUUAGCAGCCCUUUGAAUCUGGAUCAGCUCCCCAGUCUUAAAAUUUGCAACCCUUCGAAUCAAGUUCAAGUGUGCCUUUCCUUCAAGGAUAGAACCAUGCUUGCAGCUAUCAUCGACCCCUGUGAUUCAAAAUACCAACACCACCACCUGGAAAUCCAUCUCAGAUGCCGCUCCUUCUUCAAGCAGAGUUUCCCACCUGUCUCAAACCAGGGGUUUUAGACAAUCAUGGAACUACCUGUGAAUAAUGCUGUGGUUCUGCUUCCUCCAGUGUGUCUUCAUAGGCCUGAUGUCAGCUUCUUUCUUGUGGAGACAAAGAAUGUCACCAUGAAUGUCCAUUGGCAAACUGGAUAAGAAGGAGUGUCACAGUGCAGGACAACCUAGAAAAUGACAGGUAUUUCCAGGCAUAGCAAUGAUGAGAUCAAAUUCCCCUCAACCUGCCUUGUUUGCUGAUCUUUUAAUCAGAUUCAACUUCACUGCAGCUACAGCACAAGGUUCCCUGACAAUGUAUGACAGCAUGUGACAGAAAAAUAUUUUGAUUUUGGUUUGUUUUUUGUUUUGGUUUUUUUUUGACCAUUUGAUGCUAUUUCAGAUAUAUCUGAAGCCCUGGCAGCAUCUGCUAAAUCUACCGAACUGUUUUAGUGGAGGUUUUUAUACUUGCAUAAUUGAACCAGAGGGUUUGGGGGUUGUGUUCAUGUGCGUGUAGGGGAAUCCAAACAGGAAAGCUGGGAAAUGAUCUAAACCCUUUGAGGUUAACGUGCCAUGAAAGAGCAUCAACGACCGAAGAGGACAUUAUUAAAAAGCAGCCAACCCAGCUCAAAAAGAACCACUGUGUGAAGCAAGAGCCUGCAGAACAACACCCAGGGCUGUUUGUGAUCCCACUGGGAUAUGUAUUUCAUCCCCUGUCUUCAUAUCUCCAGAUUUCCUCUGAACUGCUUCUGAGACGCAUUCUCAAAAAAGAAAAACACCAGCAACUACUGAAUGCCUCUUAUCAACCUUUUCCCCGCAAUCUGUUUCGUAUUCGUCUCACACCCUUGUUCUCGCAGUGUCUUGGGGAAAUGCUCGGAUCAAAGAUAAGAGAGAACAAGGAAAGGAAUGAAGCAAGAGGCAAACAACAAAACAAAACCACCCCCCCCCCCCCCCCCAAACUUUCUGACUAAACUUCUCUGCAAACCGUGUGCACGAUUACAGCACUGUUAAAACUGCCUUCUUCUUCGCCAGUACUUAAUUCCUGCUUUUAAAAUCAGGCUCCCUUUGAUCUUGAGGAUUGAAAUGAUCUGGAAAUGAAACAGCCAUUGCUUUGCAGAAAAUCUGGAUAGGGUCCCAGGCAUGGCUUUUACCUGGAAGGAUUCCAAAAUAGGAUGAAAUCUCUCCGGUUUCAGAACAAAUUGCAAGAUUUUUCUCUAUGUCUAGGCCAACUGUGGAACUCCAGCCCUGACGUCUGCUAGUUCCCAAAGCGCAGAUGUAAUAACCUCUAAGAGAUUUGGACUGCUCUUACAGGAAUCAUAGAAUCACAGAAUCAUUAAGGUUGGGAAGACCAAUAAGAUCCUCUAGUCCAACCAUCAACCCAUGCCUGUGACUGCUCUAGACUAUGUCUCUCAGUGCCACAUGUCCGCAGUUCUUGAACACCUCCAGGGACGGUGACUCCACCACCUCCCUGGGCAGCCUGUGCCAAUGCAUCCUCUUUCUGAGAAGUUUUUCCUAACAUCCAACCUGAGAACAGUUGUUGAUCAGGU
ensembl:lncRNA